GAAAACAAUUCAAAAUUAGGUAGUAAUGGAAGACUUGAAACUUAAAAGAUUUGGCGGUGUUUUAAUCUUAUUAGAGGAACCUGUUUUUUAAUCGAAACCACUCGUAAAAUCUUACUUAAAUUAAGGCUUGUAUAUCGUCGUAAUAAUAAUAUUUUAUAAUCAUUAUUAAUAAUAAUUUUAUCUUUAAAAUCAGAUCAAGGUUCAGCUUAUAUUUAAGAAAUAAAUAGGUUACAAUAUAAUAAUAUAUCACGAAUACUUCAUAUAAACAAGAGUUGAAGGUGGAUUUAAAAGUAUUUAAAAAAUAAAAAGUUUUAUUGAAUUAGCUCUAAAACAUGC
rnacentral:rRNA from 1 species